rnacentral:rRNA from 1 species
AUCGAUAAUCCACGCUAAAAUCCACUUUAAUCCUAAAAUUUAUAUACCGCCAUCUAAAGAAUUAAUUUAAAAAUAUUUUUCUCAAAAAUAACUAAAAAGUUAGGUCAAGGUGUAAUUAACAUUAAAGAAUCAAAUGAGUUACAAUAAAUACAAUUUAAAGAUUAUAAAAAUACACAUUAUACAAAUUAGAAUUUAAUAGUAAUAUUUAAAUAAUACUACAAUAUGAUUAAAAUAAUAAAUGUGCACACAUCGCCC